CUGAUUAGGUCUCGGUCUUGGUCCCGGUGGCCAGUCACUCAGCCGGCAGCAGAAAUAUCCUGUUAUUUGAGCAUUUUCCGUAUUUUGUGGCUAUGUUUGGAGGAAAUGGGAUAACAGGGCAGGUACUCCAUUCCAAAACGAGCAUAUUGAGGAGGCUGCGUUGGGAGAAGAAGAGAUGAUAAGGAGAUACGAAGCGAACAGAGAUGAGAAAUGCCUUUGAGCACUGGUGGUGAUGUCCUGAGGUCACUGCAACCACCACCAGUACAAGGGCAGGUCUGCUCUUAACCACAGCAAGGAAGAAGCUGUGCUCCCAAGAUGAUCAAGACUUCAGACAUGUCAAAGUUGGAUUGCUAAUCACACAAGCUGGCACACCAGGGCAGAAUCCACUACUUGUGUGUAAGCAUCCAGCUCACCCAGAUAUGAAGCAUUGAAAUGAUACUACAGGUCGUGCAUGACCUUGACAUUAAUAGCAAUAUUGUCAAAGAAUUGACAUUAAUAAAUUCAAGGCAUUUUAUUUAAUCCAAUAACUAUUAAUGUCAUAAUAAAUUCAAGGCAUUUUAUUUAAUCCAAUAAAUUAUUGGCGCA